rnacentral:RNase_P_RNA from 1 species
AGUAAUUACUGAUGCUAUCGCUUCAUUUAAUUGAAGAGGAAAGUCCGGACACCAAAGAGCAACAUAGUGGGUAAUACCCAUCUGCCGCGAGGCAUGGACCAGUGCAACAGAAAGCAAGUACAGUUAGGCUGUAGUGAAAUCAGGUAAACUCUAUGUGGUGCAAUACCAUGUAUAUCAGGAUUUAAGAGCUGCUCGCUCUUUCUUGAGGGGUAGGUAGCUUGAAGCAAUAGGCAACUAUUGUUCUAGAUAAAUGAUGGCACUCUUUUGAGAACAGAAUCCGGCUUAUGUGUAAUUACUGAUA